rnacentral:lncRNA from 1 species
AUCCCACAAGAGGCAGGAAACUGCUAGAGGAAGCUGCCUUGGAGAGGAUUCUUUCCUCCCCUCCCGAAAGGAGCUGAACUCAAAAUCUCUCCAUUUCACAAUAGACAUUGGAGAACAUUUUCAACAGUGGAUUUGCACCGGUGUUUUGUGUCCUAGAAAAACGUUCCCUUCAGGUAGGUUCUAAUAAGCCCCACUGGGACAUUUUGGACACCCUUGUCUGCUCUCUGCCUCUCUAACCUUAGAGGGUCCCUUGGAAUCAACUAAUAUUUCAGGUCCUUUCUUCCCAUUACUGUUGCCACACAAGGAACCCAGAUUACAUCAGGGAGAGGCUGAGCUCCAGAGGUUCACACCAGGAGCUUAUUCAUUGUCACACUGUUCCUGCUUCCUGACAGGUUCACUUGAACCAUCUGGAGAUUGGGGAACAAGGGCAAUGAGUUGAACAUGUAGGAAGUUUCAUGGCCCAGCCCCUCCUGAGAGCCCUGAACUGCCAACCAGACUGAGCCCAUCAGAGAAUAACACCUCAUUUUCUGAGGAUUCUGAUACCUUUUCAAUCAGAAACAGAAGCAAAGAUUCUGCAGCUCCCACAGAAACUCCCAGAAACCUUGCGGUGCUUCACCCUUCUGAGAUCCUUGAGUCCGAAUGUGGGAGCUAACCAGGCACAUCUUCACAAUGAAAUCUUCACAAGCUCAGAACCAUCAACUUGCUACACUGUGUUCCUCCAGUGCCCAGUUCACAGGAAGCACUCAAGAGUAGGAUCAAUUGUUAUCAACCUCUAGCAGAUUAUUGAAUAGACGGUCGUUACAUGAAACUGACACUCAGUUCUUCAUGGUCCACGAUAGUUCUUAUAUCCAGAAAACGUACUUACGUUAUCAACUCUGACUCCAUAAGACAACUUUGCAAAGUCUUGGCUCAUAACUAUGUAAGCAAUGAGAUAACUUAGUUUUCAUUUCUCACUUGUUACUUACAAGUAAACAGCCCUGCAGCUCAGCUGAGCUACAGAUUAACUACAGGUAAUCACUUCAGCGAUUCUGCUUUACCCAUGCCCAAGAUUUUAAAAAAGAACCUGACAGAUCAUUAAAUUUUGAGAUUUGCUUUUUAAAAUGCAGGUUCCAUAAAGUUACGCUGUUUUGCUUAUAUAUACAGCAACAAAUGCCUUCUUAGAUAUUUACUUUAAAAUUCUAGUUUCCUUACCAUGUAUUAGCCAGAUAAUCUGUCAUUUUUUAAAUUCUGAAAUUGUACAUAUAUAAAUUAAUGUACAUCUCUAUGCCUGAAAGGUACAUUUGGAAUUACAACGUGUGUCAAGGUAGAGCAAAAUCCCCCAGUCCACUCCUUCCAACCCCCUAGAAAUUUACUCUGUUUGGUUUCCUCUUGAUUGUCUUUAAUUAACAAUAAGUAUGUCACAUAGGUAUCAAAUAAAAUAAGAAAAAAAAUAGAUAAAAGAGAAGUGAUUCAAAAUUCAAGUGUUUAAACACUUUAUGAAUCUUCCCGUUGUUCUUGACACAUUUUUAAAAUUUCAUUUUAAUUCAGAUCAUUAGGGAUGAAAUUCUCCUGAAUUGUAGCAUUUUAUUUCCUUUGGGAAGAAGGGGCUGAAUUUGGCAUAAUUAUACUUGACUAUACUGUAAAAGAAACCAGAUCUAAUAUAAGGACAUCAAUACUUAGUUAUUAAUUCAUUUGCUUAUAUUUAUAUGUCAUUUGAAAAUGUGUAUUAACAUACACAAUUAAAGGGAUAUAAAAAUGAACAUGCC